rnacentral:tRNA from 1 species
GUUUUAAUAGUUUAUACAAAACGUUGGUCUUGUAAACCAAAAAAGAAAGCAAUUUCUUAAAGCU